rnacentral:rRNA from 1 species
AGCGGCGGACGGGUGAGUAAUGUAUGGGGAUCUGCCUGAUGGAGGGGGAUAACUACUGGAAACGGUAGCUAAUACCGCAUAAUGUCCACGGACCAAAGCGGGGGACCUUCGGGCCUCGCACCAUCAGAUGAACCCAUAUGGGAUUAGCUAGUAGGUAAGGUAACGGCUUACCUAGGCGACGAUCCCUAGCUGGUCUGAGAGGAUGAUCAGCCACACUGGGACUGAGACACGGCCCACACUCCUACGGGAGGCAGCAGUGGGGAAUAUUGCACAAUGGGCGCAAGCCUGAUGCAGCCAUGCCGCGUGUAUGAAGAAGGCCUUCGGGUUGUAAAGUACUUUCAGUCGGGAGGAAGGUGUUAAGGUUAAUAACCUUGACAAUUGACGUUACCGACAGAAGAAGCAUCGGCUAACUCCGUGCCAGCA